rnacentral:tRNA from 1 species
AAUUUACUUUUAUUAGAAAA